UCCGUGCUCCAAUUCUGAGAACAUCGCCUCCUAUCCCGGAAGCCUAGCCCUAUCCUCCAUCUGGCCAUUCUCUCUCCGACUCUCCCCCACCCCAGCCACCGCCACCACUGUCAUCUCCUCUCCUCCCUUUUUUCGGGUAUUCUUUUCCCCACUUCUUCGCGCUCGCUAGGCGCUCCCUCCAUUCCUAGCUGAACGUGAAGACGGACAACUAGACGAGCAAUAUGAGAGCGGUUGACCAGAGGCGGUGAAGUGAGAUGGGUUCUUGUGUUGGAUGCAUCAAAUCUUGGGAUGAUCAAACCAAACACCAUAGCGGAAAAUGGUUCAGGAUAUAUAUGCUUGGGAACUAGUGCUACAUGGAUGCUUUCAAGAUACCAUAAGAACCAUUGAGAGUUUCUGCGUUAGUAUCACUCUGAGGCAUUUCUGUUACUAAUGCAGGUGCCGUGCUAGGGAAACAACCAAAAUAGGUAAACGUUCAAAUUUCUACCUCCCUUGUCUUACUUUAAGAAGUGGUGGUGACAAUUGUAGGUUAGCUAUCCCGAAAUAUUAUUUGUGACUGACUGAUGUUUAAAAAUGAUGCAGAUACAAAUGUAUUGUUUAACCACCUUGCUACUAAGGAAAUAAUCCUGCUACUGAACAAAUAAUAGAUCACAUCAUUCACCUAGAAAAACAGAUGAUGUCCCAGAAUCUAAUACGUCUAGGGAUAAGGGUCGAAUCUAUUCAACAUAGUCGAAAAUGUUAAUUCCCAUAUACUGACAUACUGUAUUGUGAACAAGAGAUAAUGUAAUCCAUAGUAAGAGGGACAGAUAGGAGAAACUUAGAAACCCAAAGCUCUAAAUGGUAAUUCAAUUUAACAUGGAGGCACAGGAUCAUAUACCACACAUCGACAUCAAUAUUGACUAAUUCCUUGCUUAUUUUCAAUAGGAUGAAAGAGUGUCGAAUGCUUCUUCAGACACUAUUUCUUGGUUCGUCAAUUCUAUUAACCCAAAUGCAUUUUUUCUCAAAUGUGGCAAAAAAUGAUUCUCUCACCAAUUGUCAGCACGCCUGUUUCUAGCAAAGUUCUAGAGAAGGAAAAGAUGGAAUGAAACUCAUAUUUUGGUGGCCGCACAAGUGUGGAUACUUGAAUUCAUAUAUAUACUUAGUUAGGAUCGAAGUUAGUGCAAACAGUUGAUGAUCAAGUUUUUUAAUUAGUAUUUUAGUUUGGAUUAAGAGUACAUUUAUGUAUGAGUUAUAUGGCAUUGCUAAUUUAUAAGAUAUUGAAUGGUACUUAUAAAUAUUAUAUUAAUAGGAAUAUUAUUAAAUAUAUGUGUA